GAUGAACGCUGGCGGCGUGCCUAAUACAUGCAAGUCGAGCGAACUGAUUAGAAGCUUGCUUCUAUUACGUUAGCGGCGGACGGGUGAGUAACACGUGGGCAACCUGCCUGUAAGACUGGGAUAACUUCGGGAAACCGAAGCUAAUACCGGAUAGGAUCUUCUCCUUCAUGGGAGAUGAUUGAAAGAUGGUUUCGGCUAUCACUUACAGACGGGCCCGCGGUGCAUUAGCUAGUUGGUGAGGUACUGGCUCACCAAGGCAACGAUGCAUAGCCGACCUGAGAGGGUGAUCGGCCACACUGGGACUGAGACACAGCCCAGACUCCUACGGGAGGCAGCAGUAGGGAAUCUUCCGCAAUGGACGAAAGUCUGACGGAGCAACGCCGCGUGAGUGAUGAAGGCUUUCGGGUCGUAAAACUCUGUUGUUAGGGAAGAAUAAGUACAAGAGUAACUGCUUGUACCUUGACGGUACCUAACCAGAAAGCCACGGCUAACUACGUGCCAGCCGCCGCGGUAACAC
rnacentral:rRNA from 1 species